UACAGAGGUCUCAAGCGUUGUUCGGAAUUACUGGGCGUAAAGAGUGUGUAGGCGGUGCUCUAAGUCUGUCGUGAAAUCUCCCGGCUUAACUGGGAGGGUGCGGCGGAAACUGGAAUGCUAGAGGGUGGGAGAGGAAAGCGGAAUUCCUGGUGUAGCGGUGAAAUGCGUAGAUAUCAGGAGGAACACCUGCGGUGUAGACAGCUUUCUGGACCACUUCUGACGCUGAGACACGAAAGCGUGGGUAGCAAACAGG
rnacentral:rRNA from 1 species